rnacentral:rRNA from 1 species
UACAGAGGGGGCAAGCGUUGUUCGGAAUUACUGGGCGUAAAGGGCGCGUAGGCGGCCUUCUAAGUCGAACGUGAAAUCCCCGGGCUCAACCCGGGAACUGCGUCCGAUACUGGAAGGCUUGAAUCCGGGAGAGGGAUGUGGAAUUCCAGGUGUAGCGGUGAAAUGCGUAGAUAUCUGGAGGAACACCGGUGGCGAAGGCGGCGUCCUGGACCAAUACUGACACUGAUGAGCGAAAGCCAGGGGAGCAAACGGG